CAAAUAUCCCACCAUAAUCUGUAGUCUGAGCCUGCCAAGGGCUAAUGGCAAUGACAGAUACGGUACUAGUUACUAUUUUUGAAAAAG